GCAAUCUGGUCAGUCUGUGGAAACUGCUGAGUUACUCUUGUUUCUUUUAUCUGCUCCAAGGGAAGUGUUUCUGAGUCAGCAAAGGAAACCAACACAUUUUCCUGCAUCCAGGAGGGAAGGCUCAGGAGAAAGGCAAACCACUGAUGAGCCAGUAACAGUAAACAGAAAGGAGGAAGAGCAAAGUGGAGCAGCUUGGAAGGAAAGCACAGGUGGACACCAGGAGGAAGAGCUGUGCACUCUUACUCUGGCAAUGGGGUCUACACUGGAGGCAUUAUGUGAUGAGAAAUAUCAGAGAUAAGAAGUCUUGGAAAACCAUAAUUUGUGUGCAAGCUGACAUGUUUCAACAGCAUGGACAGGGAUGAAAAGUGGGAAGAUGAAGCAGCCUUGCUGCCAGCUGCUCAGCGUUGGUCGCUGCCUGCGAGAAGGAUGGGCCCAUCAGCACGGCUGAGCGCGGCCGUUCAUCACCCAGCACGUGCAGAGGUGGGCCCGGGAGUGACCUUGAGCACUGCACCAGCAGCACCUGGCCAAGCAGAGAUCAUGGCCAUCCCUUAGCUCCAGGCCAAUGAAUAUUUAGGAAUCAAAACUGAAUAGCAUUUACAUAAAUCAGAAAGUGUUGAUGGUUGUGUUUCCAUGCAUUGGGCCCAUCUAUGAAGGAAGCUAUAAGGCAGCUUUCAUGUAUGAGGUAAGAAAAUUG
rnacentral:lncRNA from 12 species